GCAACUCGCCUGCAUGAAGUCGGAAUUGCUAGUAAUCGCAGAUCAGCAUGCUGCGGUGAAUACGUUCCCGGGCCUUGUACACACCGCCCGUCACACCAUGGGAGUCAGUAACGCCCGAAGUCAGUGACCGAACCGAAAGGACGGAGCUGCCGAAGGCGGGACGGAUAACUGGGGUGAAGUCGUAACAAGGUACC
rnacentral:rRNA from 1 species